rnacentral:rRNA from 1 species
UGGGGAAUAUUGCACAAUGGGCGCAAGCCUGAUGCAGCAACGCCGCGUGAGGGACGACGGCCUUCGGGUUGUAAACCUCUUUUAGUAGGGAAGAAGCGAAAGUGACGGUACCUGCAGAAAAAGCACCGGCUAACUACGUGCCAGCAGCCGCGGUAAUACGUAGGGUGCGAGCGUUGUCCGGAAUUAUUGGGCGUAAAGAGCUCGUAGGCGGUCUGUCGCGUCUGCUGUGAAAAUCCCGAGGCUCAACCUCGGGCCUGCAGUGGGUACGGGCAGACUAGAGUGCGGUAGGGGAGAAUGGAAUUCCUGGUGUAGCGGUGGAAUGCGCAGAUAUCAGGAGGAACACCGAUGGCGAAGGCAGUUCUCUGGGCCGUAACUGACGCUGAGGAGCGAAAGCGUGGGGAGCGAACAGGAUUAGAUACCCUGGUAGUCCACGCCGUAAACGUUGGGCGCUAGAUGUGGGGACCAUUCCACGGUUUCCGUGUCGCAGCUAACGCAUUAAGCGCCCCGCCUGGGGAGUACGGCCGCAAGGCUAAAACUCAAAGGAAUUGACGGGGUCAUAGCUG